ACGUGAAUGGGUAGCAUGUAUGAGUAACAAAAAUUCCGACCACACAAUCCAUUUUGAAAUCAUUUUUUAGCAACCGGUCAGCACGACUCUCAUGAAUUGAAAGCUAACACAAUCCAUUCCGACCACAUAUUGAAAGCUUUCCCGUUGUGCCGCUUCAUUUGCAAUCUUCCAAUGCUAGAAUGUACGUACGGUGGUGUAUAUUUCGGUUGUAGCGUUAACUGGCUGGCAACUAAUCUGAUUGACCCUGGGAAUGAUGAUCUUGUUUAUCAAUUCGGGAUUAUUUCGCUUGAUCUAGGUACGGAGACGCACACACAGUUGAUGCCCCCUUUGAAUUCGAAGUAGGUGGCAUAUGUAACACCAAGUAUUUGUGUGCUGAGGAACUCCUUUUGUUUUUAUCAUGAUUUCAAUGGAACUGAUUUUGUUAUAUGGAAGAUGACAGAAUUUGGAAAUGACAAGUCUUGGACUCAAUUCCUUAAAUUUAGCUAUCACAAUCUUAGACUGACUUAUUAUCAAUUGAAUUAUCAUUUUAGAUUUGGUCGUAUGCGUUUGAUAUUAAUGCCAUUGCAUCUUUCUGAGGAUGGUGAUACACUCGUAUUCGCAGCAAACAACCUAAAACACCAAGUAAUUAUAUUCUCUAUAACUGGAGAACCAAUAGAGUACUGAAAUCUUCAAUUAACAAUAAGAUAUGUUGGUUCACUAUCAAGGAUUAUGUCGAAAGCCUGGUUUCAACUAGUUGAAUGUAAGUUGUUCUCUAGUGUAAUACUUGUUUGAAUUUAUGUUAAUUCAUGUAUUUGUUUGUUUUCAGCUUGGUUUCGAUUGUGUGGUCAUUUCCUGGCUUUACUUCAAAACUUUGUCAUAGAUAUGCUAAAUCAACCGGCCCAUCCAAAUACCAUGUUUAGAACUCAGUUCUCUUAUGUAUUUUUAAGACUAUAAUGCUUCUGCAAUUCAACAUAUAUUGAAUAUUCUUCUUGGUCUGAUCAAACCAAUUCAAGUGCACCCAUGGCGAUUAUAUGAAGUGAUGAGUAAACAAGAUUUUUGGUGAUUGAGGAAACAAGUAUGAGAUUGUUAUGAUAUGAGGCUUUAGACUAUGAAAUCAGGUGUUACAUGGUGUAUUGCACCCGAGGUAAGAUAUUGGCUCUGACUAUGGAAAGAAAAUUGAUCUUUACCAGCAAGCAAUGUAUCUGGUUGUUGGUGUCUAGGAAGCUGCAGAAAUUGAUGUUGAGCAGAUGGAGCAGAGGAAGCUCCACCAUAUAGUAUCUAGAAACAAAUUGAGAUUUGAAAUUACCAUAUGCCAAAUUUAGAAAUUUGAGCACCAUUACUAUUGUAGUUAUCGUUAAAGCUCCCGCAUACGUAGAGUUCAGGAAGGGAUCCCACCAUUUUUGGUAUAUUGUACGCAGUCUUAUCCUGUUUUUUACACAAGAGAAUGUUUCCAGGACUUGAACCCGUGACCUUUCAAUCAUGUAUGAUUGAGGUUCUGGUUGUAGGCAUUAAACUAUAUUUGGUGGUUAGUUUUUUGAAACUACUAUUAUUGCAUGGUUAUGUUGUUUUCUUUUACUAGUAGAUUACAAAUCCUAGAUGAGCUUAAUCUUGUUCAUAAAA